UGGGGAAUAUUGCACAAUGGGCGAAAGCCUGAUGCAGCGACGCCGCGUGAGGGAUGACGGCCUUCGGGUUGUAAACCUCUUUCAGCAGGGACGAAGCGCAAGUGACGGUACCUGCAGAAGAAGCACCGGCUAACUACGUGCCAGCAGCCGCGGUAAUACGUAGGGUGCAAGCGUUGUCCGGAAUUACUGGGCGUAAAGAGUUCGUAGGCGGUUUGUCGCGUCGUUUGUGAAAACCAGCAGCUCAACUGCUGGCUUGCAGGCGAUACGGGCAGACUUGAGUACAGCAGGGGAGACGGGAAUUCCUGGUGUAGCGGUGAAAUGCGAAGAUAUCAGGAGGAGCACCGGUGGCGAAGGCGGGUCUCUGGGCAGUAACUGACGCUGAGGAACGAAAGCGUGGGUAGCGAACAGG
rnacentral:rRNA from 1 species